GCUCCCGUAGCUCAGUGGUAGAGCACGGCACUUAUGAUGCCGGGGUCGUGGGUUCGAUCCCCAUCGGGAGCA
rnacentral:tRNA from 3 species